AGAACCACCGAAAUAGGGCUCUAUACUAAAAUUGGAAUGAUACAGAGAAGAUUAGCAUGGCCCCUGCGCAAAGAUGACACGCAGAUUCGUGAAGAGUUCCAUAUUUUU